rnacentral:misc_RNA from 1 species
AAGUCGUAACAAGGUUUCCGUAGGUGAACCUGCGGAAGGAUCAUUAACGAAUGGAGCACUAGUCGGGGGGCCGGAGUCGCGUCAGCGACGAGGGUGCCGAUGCUCAACUUUUGCGCGUGUCUCGUGUGACUGACUGUUUGUAAAUUAAUUGAUUGAUUGAUGGAGAGUAAAGGACAACUUUUAACAAUGGAUCUCUUGGCUCUU